UGAAACACGGACCAAGGAGUUUAAGGUGUACGCAAGUCAUUGGUUGUUGAAAGCCAUAGGCGUAAUGAAAGUGGGACACUCGGUGUCUGUGAUGUGAGCCGUCUUCGUUUCGACGGAUUCGGCGCAACAUCGACCCAUGACUAGGACUUGUUCUGUUGUGGAGUCUGAGCGUACGCUUUGAGACCCGAAAGAUGGUGAACUAUGCCUGAACAGGACGAAGUCAGAGGAAACUCUGAUGGAAGUCCGAAGCGGUUCUGACGUGCAAAUCGAUCGUCUGAUUUGGGUAUAGGGGCGCAAGACUAAUCGAACCAUCUAGUAGCUGGUUCCUUCCGAAGUUUCCCUCAGGAUAGCUGGAGCAUUUGCAGAGCAGAUAUACUCGGUAAAGCGAACGAUUAGAGUCAUUGGGAUGUAUUAUUCUCAAACUAUUCUCAUACUCUAAAUGGUUAUGUUGUCGGUGUUACUUAACUGAACACGCGGCUUUGAUUGCUAUGCUCCAAGUGGGCCAUUUUUGGUAAGCA
rnacentral:rRNA from 1 species